CUCCAGAGCCAGGAGGCCCUGCCGAGGGCCUUGGCUGGAGUCCAUCCACCUGGAUUGGGGGGCCGCCCUGGCAGGGUCUGCCUUCAAAAUGCCAGAGCUGGGCUGAUUCAAGGUGUCUGCUUACCUUCAUGAAGCUUACGCUACAAUCUGGCCUUGAGAUACAAACUCAGAUAAGUAUAGUUCAGGUCAACAUUUAUUAAGCAUUUCCCUCAGUACUGAACAAUGUGUAAAGUAUUGGGGAGAACCCAAAGUUGGGACGAGUCAUUCUUCCUCCUCCCAUGGAGCUUCUAGGUUAGUAGGGAGAUAAGACACAGACAUGAGAAAUCACGUGAGGGCCUCUGAGGCUGAGCAUGCAAUCAGUACCUUUGUGCCCAGAACACAAGAAAGGUGAAGAAGAGAUGGAAAGCAGGAUGCCAAUGAGAGCUGAGGAGACAAGAGUGUUUGCAGUUUUCAUUCAGAGGAGAAAAGAGGACUUGGUGAGAGUUGGAGGGAAAAGAGACUACCUAUAAGUGUCUGAAGAGCUGUCUUGUGGAAGAGGGACUAACUUGUCUAGGAGUUGUAGGUAAGAAUUUGCACAUAGGCCCAUUUC
rnacentral:lncRNA from 1 species